CUUUAAUUGUGACAGCGAAACGAACAUUUGAUUGUAAUUCACCUUCAGUAUUGGAUUUUACACUAUGGCGUAAUCUUCGCACAGAUUCGAGGAGCCGAGGCGAAGGGGGAGAUUCGUGUACGAUAUGCUAUACCACGGGACUGAUUCCCUGGCCUGUCAACUAUCAAAUCAUCAGUCUUGCUAUAUUGCUUCUAAUUAUAAUCCGUGUCACGUUUUGGGCCAAAGCUCAACUGGAGUACGAAUUGUAUGAUCUUUGAUUUGUAUUUACCGCAAAACAAGAUUCCAAAGGCUUUCAUAAAGCACAAGCAAUUAUGAGAAAACAUGAAUUGCAUUACCUCCGUGCUAUCAUCCUCAGUUUGAUCUAUUUCGCUCCAACUGUGUUGUUAACCUACGGAAAACACCGGGCAGUUCGUAUCGGGGGGAAUAUUACCCUCGGAGGUCUGUUCCCGAUACAUUCAGACGACAGGAACGGCAAGUGUAGCAGCAUCAAUGGCGUACUGGGCAUACAGAGACUCGAGGCUAUGAUUUACGCCAUAAAACGUAUAAACACAGAGGGGAAAAUAUUGCCGGGGAUAAACCUUGGUUUGAGUGCGUUCGACACUUGCUCCAGCGAGACGACGGCUCUAGAUCGAACAGUGGAAGAAUUCAUCACAGAUCAAAGAUGUGAUGACGACGAAAAUGGCGCUGUCGGCGGCCGACAAGUUGUUGGAGUCGUCGGACCGUUGUAUAGUUCCGUAUCUGUCCAGGUAGCACAUUUGCUGCGCCUCUUUAAAAUGCCUCAGAUCAGUUACGACUCGACGAGCUCUGAGCUCAGCGAUAACACAAAAUACGAGUAUUUUCUCAGAACUGUUCCGUCUGACCUUCUCCAAGCGCGGGCGAUCGUCGACAUACUCAAGUACUUCGGAUGGAGUUACGUGUCAGUUGUGUACAGCGAUGAUAGCUAUGGACGUAACGGGAUUGAGGGGCUGAGUAAAGAGAUGGAGAAGAAAGAUAUUUGCAUCGCAGUACGAGGAAAGAUCUCACAGCCUGAAGACGAUGAAAAAAUGGAAAAGAUUAUAAAUGAACUGCUUGCAGAAACACAUGCACGUGUAGUUGUGGUAUUCUGUAGCAAGAAGGAAACGAUCAAAUCACUUCUGAGAGCAGCCAAAUCCAGGAACGCGAUAGAUCAAUUUCAAUGGAUCGGCUCGGAUUCAUGGAUAACUGUAAGCUGGUUAGGUGAAUUCCAAUCGCUUGCCAAUGGCCUCAUCUCCGUCCAACCGAUGUCCAACCCGGUUGAAGCAUUCCGAGAACAUUUGCUGCAGCAAAUACCAAGUUCGAAUGACGUCAAUCCGUGGUUUAAAGAAUACUUUGUCGACACCUUGAAAUGCAAUCUACUAUCACACCGUGGCUCAGACAGCUACCCUGGCUGUGGGUCAAAGCACACACUGCGCUCUGCGAAUCUCACUAUUGAUUACGGUGUGACGCGCACCAUUGACGCAGUUUAUGCGUACGCGUACGCCCUUCGGAAAAUUCGCACAUCGAUGUGCGGCAGUCCUCGCAUAUUUUGCGAUGCGAUGAAAGAGAUUUCGGGAGAAAAUUUACUGAAUGUUCUGAAGAAUAUCACAUUUGAGAGCAUCGAUGGAAACACGAUCUUCUUCGAUGAAAAUGGCGACGUGCACUCCAGGUACGAUGUGUAUUACUUUAACCGCACUGUGAACAACCGAUACGAGAAUGUGCGUAUUGGUCAAUGGAUAGACAACCUCACGAUGUACCGUAUCACCAAGGAUGAUUUGGGACAUAGGGAGUCCUUUUGUGGCAUGCCAUGUGAAGGUCACGAGGUGAAGCAAGGCAUCACGGGAAAGCCAUCGUGCUGUUGGAAGUGCGCGGCGUGCACUGGAAACCAGCUUGCUUUCAAUCAAACGCAUUGCAAGACAUGCGCCCGCGGUUUUUGGCCGGACACCGGCAAGCAGCAGUGCGUCCAGAUACCACCACGAUACUUCACGUUAAAUACAGAUUACGUGGGUCUACACCUGGUUCUUCCCCCUCUCGUGGUAUCCAUCCUCGGUUUUAUUUCCGUCAUUUGUGUGGCGGUAAUCUUCGCCAAAUUCAACCAAACGCCUCUGGUCAAAGCAUCCGGUCGCGAGUUAUCAUACUUGUUACUAACCGGUUUAUUCUUCUGUUACGCCAUGUUGGUCGUCUGUCUUUUGAAACCAUCGCCCUAUGUAUGCCUGGUUGAGUUCCUUCUGGACAGCCUACCGUUCACAAUAUGCUAUGCAGCAGUGAUUGUGAAGACCAAUCGGAUAUCGAGAAUUUUCAACCGUCGAAAUUUGACUAAACGUCCGCAGUUCAUACAUCCACAGUCUCAAAUAUGCUUCUCGUUCGUAUUGGUCGCCGUUCAAGUGAUGCUUCUCACAGCGUUUUGUCUCCUUCAGUUACCGCGAGAAAAACUACUUUAUCUAUCAGAAUCGGACGUAGUACUCAUAUGCGCAAUCUCUGAUAAGGAUUUUCUUCUUUCCCAAAUUUAUAACUUCGUCUUGAUCAUAAUAUGCACAUACUACGCGUUCAAGACACGCCGUAGCCCGAUGAACUUCAACGAAGCUAAGUACAUCGCGUUUGCAAUGUACUGCACAUGCGUACUAUGGCUGGCAUUCAUCACGGUGUAUCUAGUUCAGACUGACGCCAUGCUGAAGGCGUGUAUCCGAUGCCUCAGCAUAUCCCUAAUUGCUACCAUUCUUCUCGUGUGUCUCUUUGUUCCCAAGGUGUACAUCAUCCUAUUGAAACCGUCGGAGAACAGGAAGCGGCCAACAUUGCCAAGUCAUAGCAUUUCAAGUCUUAAUGGGGACCAAGCUGCAGGAAGAUCUCAAGGUCUAUUGCCCAACGAAGCCAAUAAUUCGAGCAGAGCUUUAGAUUGUGUGCGAUACGACGGUACGAUUCCAAGAGGAACCUACAGACCAAGGAGUUCAACGGAUCCCAGAAGAUUUGAUUCAGACAGAAGGUCAUGGCGAUACUCUUUACCGCCAGAUCAAUUUUCCCAUUCAACUGCACCGAGGAAACUGGAAAGAGAAGAAGAAAUGGAGCUGGAGAUGAAAGCAUUGAUAGAAAGAUUGGCAGUGUUAGAAUCGCUUCUUCAUCAGCAGCGACAGGCGACUGGCUCUUACCAAACCCGCGAGAUCCAAGGCGCUUUAAAAUCCUGCCAAAGUCUUAUGGCCGAAGUUAACAAACAGGGCGAAAGUUCGAUACCAGAAUGCGUUAGGAACUGCACUGGUGACCAUUGUUCGUGCCCUCCCCAAACCUCAAACCCAUCGAAAUCGGAUAACAGAAGCUUAUUGAUGACGUAUGCACAAUCCGCCAUAGCACAAGAGAAUCCCAAAGAUUCUGGAACGGUAGCACAACAACAAAAGAAGACAAAUGGUACUGUACUGACCGUACCAAAUAGUAGGGGACGAUUUAAGAGUUCCAACGAGAACAGCGAAAGGAUGGGUCUGUUGGAGUACCGAAUGUCACCGAUACAACGCAAGUCGGCCUCAGAAGCGUGAACGUGUUAAUCUCCCGGCAGAUUCUCAGCUCGAUUAAAGCAACGGCAAUCAUGAGGCCCUGAAUACAUUAGGUAUAAACUCAUCUGUGUUCGUCGACGUGGAUCCCCGGCCCCAAGUGUAAAUACGCCAAAUUAUCGUCAGUUUCAACCUGGGCGAAGCAAUGUUGGGAACAGGCUCAAACUAACCGCCAUCGUUUGCGUUUUGUGAACUGGAUCGCAAAAGGUCGUAAAGGAACAGAAAUACUUGCCGAAGCUUUACAGCCAACAAUUUAACAAAUGUAACAUCGCUUUUCUCUAUGUCGUACUAAGAUCCAAAUCAUCUCUUUCCAAUAUACAAAUAUGACGUCAGGACAGUGUGGACAAUCGUGAAAAUCUCUUUUAGACGCCAAAAUAUCAGUUAAAAGCUUCUAGAUUGUCUGUAUUUUACGUUGUUGCGUGAUUAGA
rnacentral:misc_RNA from 1 species